rnacentral:lncRNA from 1 species
GGGACUUUUUAAUACUAAUUCUCUAUCGUCUCAUACUUGAGUCAACAUCAAAUAAAUUCAUGAAAUAAAUAUAUAAUUGCUGGAAAAUAACAGCAUUAAUAAUUAUUGAAAUAUUGCAUUUAUUUACCGUAAACUUACCUCGGUACAAAAUUUGACCAAAUCUAGCAACUUAGUCCUCUAUCUUUUUCUUUCCCUAAUCUAACUCCGAAUUUCAUUCUUCUUGAUCUAUAAUAGCAAAUUUAACUUAUUUAAUACUCAAAUUCAUCAAAACAAUCCUUGACUCGAACUUUGGAAAAAUUACGAUCUUGCCCCUAAACUUUUGAAUAAUUACACUUUUGCCCCAAAUCUCAGAAAUUAAACUUCAU